AGUGAACGCUGGCGGUAGGCCUAACACAUGCAAGUCGAACGGCAGCACAGUAAGAGCUUGCUCUUACGGGUGGCGAGUGGCGGACGGGUGAGGAAUACAUCGGAAUCUACUUUUUCGUGGGGGAUAACGUAGGGAAACUUACGCUAAUACCGCAUACGACCUACGGGUGAAAGCAGGGGAUCUUCGGACCUUGCGCGAUUGAAUGAGCCGAUGUCGGACUAGCUAGUUGGCGGGGUAAAGGCCCACCAAGGCGACGAUCCGUAGCUGGUCUGAGAGGAUGGGCAGCCACACUGGAACUGAGACACGGUCCAGACCGCUACGGGAGGCAGCAGUGGGGAAUAUUGGACAAAGGGGGAAAGCCUGAUCCAGCCAUACCGCGUGGGGGAGGAAGGCCUUCGGGUUGUAAAGCCCUGUUGUUGGGAAAGAAAAGCAGCAGGGUAAGACACCGCUGGUCUGACGUUACCCAAAGAAUAAGCACCGGCUAACUUCGUG
rnacentral:rRNA from 1 species